rnacentral:rRNA from 1 species
UACGGAGGGAGCUAGCGUUGUUCGGAAUUACUGGGCGUAAAGCGCACGUAGGCGGUAUGUCAAGUUAGAGGUGAAAGCCUGGGGCUCAACUCCAGAAUUGCCUUUAAGACUGGCACACUUGAACGUCGGAGAGGUGAGUGGAAUUCCGAGUGUAGAGGUGAAAUUCGUAGAUAUUCGGAAGAACACCAGUGGCGAAGGCGGCUCACUGGACGACUGUUGACGCUGAGGUGCGAAAGCGUGGGGAGCAAACAGG